rnacentral:rRNA from 1 species
GACGAACGCUGGCGGCGUGCUUAACACAUGCAAGUCGAACGGAAAGGCCCUGCUUUUGUGGGGUGCUCGAGUGGCGAACGGGUGAGUAACACGUGAGUAACCUGCCCUUGACUUUGGGAUAACUUCAGGAAACUGGGGCUAAUACCGGAUAGGAGCUCCUGCUGCAUGGUGGGGGUUGGAAAGUUUCGGCGGUUGGGGAUGGACUCGCGGCUUAUCAGCUUGUUGGUGGGGUAGUGGCUUACCAAGGCUUUGACGGGUAGCCGGCCUGAGAGGGUGACCGGCUAGCGUGGCACGGGGGCGCGGGCGAGGCUGCUGCGGGAGCGGGCGGUGGGGGGUAGCACACCUGGGGGGGAAGCCGGAUCCAGCAACGCGGGGGGGGGGAUGGCGCUCUUCGGGGUGUACCCGCGUGGCUUGUGGUAGGAGGCGGGGGUGGCGGGAGGGGGUAAAGAGGCGCGGGGCAACGUGGCGCCAGCGGCCGCGGUAAGAGUCGGAACAGCAUCCGUCUGAGC